AGGUACUCGUGAUUCUCCCGAUCGCUCAUAUGCUCGACAUGUUUUUUCUCGAUCUGUUCAUCCGAUCGUGUACUAAUGUAGAGCAUAUCGAGACUGGUGCUCAGUAGAUCUCCGAGAGUGACUCUUUUUUGUGAGGAUGUAUUCUGAAGUUCUAUAUGUUCAACUCUGAUCAAGCUAGUAAUUCUUUAUGGACCUAAGGUGAUCUAUGUGUGGGCUCAUAUGCCCAAUGGACGAGCGGUAAGACUUUAUGGACUCUAAGGCACUCCCUUAGGGUGGCUUCUUUGCUUUGUACAUUGGGUAAGUCCUUAUGGACUUGAGGGCACUCCCUUCAGGUGGCUCCUAUGCUUCGGUUAGGGUAAGUCCUUAUGGACCAAAGGUUCUCUCUUAGGUUGGCUCUUAAGUCCAAUGGGCCUAGGAUAAGUCCUGGAUGUCGUUCUAUGGGAUUGCAUAUGGUGUAUGGUUGGAGGAUAAGUAAACCAUUUUGAUGAAACCUUAUUGUUACUUUCAUAUUAUACUAUUGAACUGAUUUUGAAACUUAUCUACAUGUUUUAUUAUGCACUUAUUGGAAUAAACUAAGCUCUCUAGCUCACUCCCCAAACUUUCCCCUUUUAGAUACUAUUGGAUAGA